UAGGCUUUGAUCCUGGCUCAGGAUGAACGCUAGCGGCAGGCGUAAUACAUGCAAGUCGAACGGUAACAGGUCCAGCAAUGGAUGCUGACGAGUGACGCACGGGUGCGUAACACGUAUGCAACCUACCCUUUACUGGGGGAUAACCCCGCGAAAGCGGGGCUAAUACCCCAUAGUAUUAUUAGAUGGCAUCGUUUAAUAAUUAAAGAUUAAUUGGUAAAGGAUGGGCAUGCGUCCCAUUAGUUAGUUGGUAGGGUAACGGCCUACCAAGACGAUGAUGGGUAGGGGUUCUGAGAGGAUUCACCCCCACACUGGUACUGAGACACGGACCAGACUCCUACGGGAGGCAGCAGUAAGGAAUAUUGGGCAAUGGGCGGUAGCCUGACCCAGCCAUGCCGCGUGCAGGAAGACGGCCUUAUGGGUUGUAAACUGCUUUUGUAAGGGAAUAACCUUUCGUACGCUGUAUUUUGUGUUGGACCUUA
rnacentral:rRNA from 1 species